UCUCCGUUGGUGAACCAGCGGAGGGAUCAUUACUGAGUCGUAAAAAACUCCCAACCCAUGUGAAUUUACCUAUGUUGCCUUGGCGGGACCUACCCGGUAUCUACCCUGUAGCCCGCCGAUGGACCAUUAAACUCUUGUUAUUUUAUAUAAAUCUGAGCGUCUUAUUAAAUAAGUCAAAACUUUCAACAACGGAUCUCUUGGUUCUG
rnacentral:misc_RNA from 1 species